rnacentral:lncRNA from 1 species
CCCCAGUCUCCCAUAGCAAACAGGAGUUAUUUGGUCACAGGCUAGAUCUUCCGCCAGUAAACAGUCCUGAGCACUAUCUUCCGAGGGCAAACAGCUAAAAUUGUCCACAGAGUGAUGUUGAUUGCCACACAGCAACACCCAUCAUUCAUCUUCUAGACAAGUCAGUCUUAUCACAAGAAAUACCUCAGGAAGCAAGCUUUGAGACAAAAAACGAAGGAUUCUCACACUUUCCCUGGGGAAAAAAACAGAGCAGUACAUGGGGAUGCUGAAGAGUCCUGAUGCAGCAUGUGGUCCUCCAGCUCCUGAGCAAGAACAAAGCAGGUCCAGUGAGAAUGGCCUCAAUAUGGUUAUGCAAGGCACUUUAAAUGCCAAGCUGGGAAAGCAAAGUUGUUUCUACAAUAACAAGAAGGAAUUUUUAAGUUAAAGGAAGAUGUGCACACAAAGAUAUCUUUAGGAUUUUUAUGGAGAGAAGAAAUCUUACCUCAUGCUCCAGAGAAAGGGACGUAAAAGUGACCCUUCUUAAGAAUGGGAAAGUGUGAAACUGAGUUAAUAGAGUACUGCUACGAGUCAACUGGGAGCAGGACCAGGGAUUGAGGUGGAAAGACUAAAAGAAAUAAAUCUUGAUUAAAGGAGGAAAGAGCA